ensembl:lincRNA Gm3279 uncharacterized LOC110314148
GGUUCUUCUUCCCAGAAGCACAGUUCAUCAUUUUCCCCUACAGAAGAAUUUACAAAGACUGGAAAGAACAAGACUGGGAGGUCCAUGGGUCACUGGAGGCCUUGGGAAUGAAAAGAAGAGGAGACACAAGCAACACAACACAGUGGGUGCUAUAACUAGAGAAAUUUAUUUCUCAUGGUUGAUGGACUAGAAAGUCAAAGGUCAGGUCGAAGUUGACUGGUCCCCAGUGAAGGCUCUUCAUCUCCCUGGUUGAAAGAGAGCUGCCAUCUCUGUGUAUGUGCAUAAGGCCUUUCAUCUCAUCCUGUGUGGGUAGAGAAGCAGAGGGGAAAGAAGAAACAGGAAAGGGGAGAUAUCGUGUCCCAUAAGGUUGCUAAGAAGGCUCAGUCAUCAUCUCAUUGAUUCUCAGUCACUCCCCAGAGCCCCCAUUGGAAAAGUGAAUGUAGCUUCAGCACAGGCUUUUUGAGAGGACUCAACCAUCCAUACAGGAGCCACUUACAUUUUACAAAUGUUGUGUGAUGCUCUGCUUCCUUCCUUCAUGUCCUGGCCCAAUGGCAGGUGACCAGUUUCACUGUCAUUACUGAAUCUAAACAAUGUAUUUUUAAAAGAGACAUGUUUUCUUUAUGUGCAUAACUCACAUAGAGAUAUAUACGUGCAUGCACAGGUGACUAUAUAAAUGUGCAAAUAAAUUAAUAAACUAUAAAAUGUACCUACGCAUUAAUAAAUAGGGCUUGUUGCAAAUAGCUUUCAGAAAAAUCUAGAAAUAUUAUUCAAGAAGAAUGCAAACAGAAGUGGAAAAUUUAAGAUAAUAUAUUGCCAUAGUGAAAAGUAUAUUUAUACUAUUCUUUGUCUCAAGGAAAGGAGGUUUCUCUUGUUUUGUUUUGUUUUGUUUUUUUAAGGUUUCUUUCCAGUUCCUCUAAAACUAGAAUGACAGGCAGUUGUGAGCCACUUGGCACGGGUGCUGGAAAUGAAACUUAGAUACUCUGGAAGGGCAGCAAGAGCUCUUUACUGCUGAGCCACCUUCAGCCCGGAAGGGCAGACCCUUCAAAGCACUUUUUUGAAAUGUAUGGACACACACGUUUUGUCUGCUAAUUCAUCUGUUUAAUACAUUUUGUUGUUUU